AGGUAGUGGUCAUUGCCAACAGCAACCCUUUUCCACCUGUGCGUCAUACCUACCCUCAAAGCUUGGGAAAUUCUGCUACCAGGAUCAUAAUACAG